rnacentral:rRNA from 1 species
GAUGAACGCUGGCUACAGGCUUAACACAUGCAAGUCGAGGGGAAACGACGGGGGAGCUUGCUUCCCCGGGCGUCGACCGGCGCACGGGUGAGUAACGCGUAUCCAACCUGCCUCUGACUGAGGGAUAACCCGUCGAAAGUCGGCCUAAUACCUCAUGGCAUCGUCUGCGGGCAUCCAACGACGAUUAAAGAUUUCAUCGGUCAGAGAUGGGGAUGCGUCUGAUUAGCUUGUUGGCGGGGUAACGGCCCACCAAGGCGACGAUCAGUAGGGGUUCUGAGAGGAAGGUCCCCCACAAUGGAACUGCGACACAGACCAAACUCCUACGGGAGGCAGCAGUGUGGAAGAAUGGUCAAGGGGCGAGAGCCUGAACCAGCCAAGUAGCGUGCAGGAUGACGGCCCUAUGGGUUGUAAACUGCUUUUAUGCGGGGAUAAAGUGAGGGACGUGUCCUUCAUUGAAGGUACCGCAUGAAUAAGGACCGGCUAAUUCCGUG